rnacentral:rRNA from 1 species
CCUUACACAUGCAAGUCGAACGGUAACAGGUCUUCGGAUGCUGACGAGUGGCGAACGGGUGAGUAAUACAUCGGAACGUGCCCGAGAGUGGGGGAUAACGAAGCGAAAGCUUUGCUAAUACCGCAUACGAUCUCAGGAUGAAAGCAGGGGACCGCAAGGCCUUGCGCUCACGGAGCGGCCGAUGGCAGAUUAGGUAGUUGGUGGGAUAAAAGCUUACCAAGCCGACGAUCUGUAGCUGGUCUGAGAGGACGACCAGCCACACUGGGACUGAGACACGGCCCAGACUCCUACGGGAGGCAGCAGUGGGGAAUUUUGGACAAUGGGCGCAAGCCUGAUCCAGCCAUGCCGCGUGCAGGAUGAAGGCCUUCGGGUUGUAAACUGCUUUUGUACGGAACGAAAAGACUCUGGUUAAUACCUGGGGUCCAUGACGGUACCGUAAGAAUAAGCACCGGCUAACUACGUGCCAGCAGCCGCGGUAAUACGUAGGGUGCGAGCGUUAAUCGGAAUUACUGGGCGUAAAGCGUGCGCAGGCGGUUAUGUAAGACAGAUGUGAAAUCCCCGGGCUCAACCUGGGAACUGCAUUUGUGACUGCGUAGCUAGAGUACGGCAGAGGGGGAUGGAAUUCCGCGUGUAGCAGUGAAAUGCGUAGAUAUGCGGAGGAACACCGAUGGCGAAGGCAAUCCCCUGGGCCUGUACUGACGCUCAUGCACGAAA